UCAUGCGACUAGAUAUGAUGAUCCCAAAUGCUAAACCAUCUAAACAUUUUUGUCUCCAAAAUGUAGAUCAUGUUUUCAGCCUGAGGUUGAUAAAGUAGUUUGUGAGCUGAAAUCUUUACUGGAGCUGAGGUGACGCAUACCGGGGACUUUGGUCAGGCAAAUUUGUUUUGAGCAGUCUGUUCUUAAGUUGUGAUAACAACCAGACCAGUUGGCAGUAUUGAUGGAGGAUAGGGGUGCAAGGAACCAACAUCAGACCACUUGCAAAUACUUUGGAGUUGACAUUCAACCAAUCUUGAGGCUAAUCAACACUUCUUGGACUGUGUGCCACCAGCUGAUCGAAGAACAACUGACUCUCUGCUUCAAGUGACAGAGGGAUGUAUUGAGGUGAACUACCACUUACGAAUCUAUGCUGCAAGCUGGAGACCUCCAUCACGGCCAGAUGACUCCCUACAUCCUUCAAGGAGUCUAGCUAGCAGAUCCCUGGUUUUCUUCUUCAGAUUGAGAUGAUGACCUUAGAAAUGACACUCGACCAAUCUUGAGGCUAAUCAACACGUUUUGGACUGUGUGCCACCAGCUGAAGAAUAACCGACUCUCCGCUUCAAGGUCACAGAGGGAUGUUCUGAAGCGUAAAACCACCACUGUAUGCUGAAGCUGAUGAAGACCUGCGCCACAACCAGAUGACUUCCAGUUGCAAGGAGUUGACAAAAGCUGUUGAUUGAGAUGAUGACCUUGGAGAUGACAUACUCCAAGUCUUGAGGCUAAUCAACGCUUCUUGGACUGUGGGUCACCAGCUGAAGAACAACCGACUCUCCGCUUCAAGUGACAGAGGGAUGUUUUGAGGCUAACCACCACUUUAGACUUUACGCCACAAACUGAGGACCUUCCAGAUGAUUCUCCGCUGCGGUUUCACUGUAUUUGCUUUUUGGAUUGUGCGCCACCAGCUGAACGACUAUGUCAAGUCUAUCCAUCUCUUACACGAGCUGGACCACGAUGGAUAUUGAUGCAUCACAGCCAGAUAACUCUCCGCUACAAGUUUAACUGUUCAUAUAACUGAGGAUUCACAAUGCUAACCAAGGCUUUUUGAAUUGCGCACCAAUAGCUGAAGGACUGUGUCAAGUCUAGUUAGUUGACACCCUACUGCAAGUUCAACCGCUCAAAAAUGAUGGAGUGUAUUUUUACUAACUGUAAGCGACUGAAGAAAGACUUUGUCAAGUUUAGAGCUUGAUGACUUUUUAAGAGUUUAACUGAAACAGGACCAUGAUGGCCCCUUUACUUGGAGGAGAGGACCAUCUCAGGCUUAAUCUGAAUAAGUGGCUGCUGUUAUGGCUGUGGCUGUUGCCAUGGACCUCACGCUGUUCACCAUAACGAUGAAGCCACAUCCGCU